rnacentral:rRNA from 1 species
UACGUAGGGGGCAAGCGUUAUCCGGAAUUACUGGGUGUAAAGGGAGCGUAGGCGGCAUGGUAAGCCAGAUGUGAAAGCCCGCGGCUUAACCGCGCGGAUUGCAUUUGGAACUAUCAAGCUAGAGUACAGGAGAGGAAAGCGGAAUUCCUAGUGUAGCGGUGAAAUGCGUAGAUAUUAGGAAGAACACCAGUGGCGAAGGCGGCUUUCUGGACUGAAACUGACGCUGAGGCUCGAAAGCGUGGGGAGCAAACAGG